rnacentral:rRNA from 1 species
GACGAACGCUGGCGGCGUGCUUAACACAUGCAAGUCGAACGGAAAGGCCCUGCUUUUGUGGGGUGCUCGAGUGGCGAACGGGUGAGUAACACGUGAGUAACCUGCCCUUGACUUUGGGAUAACUUCAGGAAACUGGGGCUAAUACCGGAUAGGAGCUCCUGCUGCAUGGUGGGGGUUGGAUAGUUUCGGCGGUUGGGGAUGGACUCGCGGCUUAUCAGCUUGUUGGUGGGGUAGUGGCUUACCAAGGCUUUGACGGGUAGCCGGCCUGAGAGGGUGACCGGCAACAUUGGGACUGAGAUACGGCCCAGACUCCUACGGGAGGCAGCAGUGGGGAAUAUUGCACAAUGGGCGGAAGCAUGAUGCAGCAACGCCGCGUGCGGGAUGACGGCCUUCGGUUGGUAAACCGCUUUCGCCUGUGACGAAGCGUGAGUGACGGUAAUGGGUAAAGAAGCACCGGCUAACUACGUG